rnacentral:rRNA from 1 species
UAAAACUCCUAAACCCCUGUGAACUUACUGGUGUUUGGCUCGCCAGAUAUAGUCUGGUCCGUAAGCAAAUCGACUGCCUGCCUGUGUAACAGGCAGGUAAGCUUUUGUCGCGGGGUCCCGGAUCAACCCGGGCUAGAUAGCCACUUAACUAUAUACUUUUUAUAAAAUCUGUGAACUUACUAGGUUGGAUUCUCGCCAGAGAUAGUCUGGUUUCUGCUUCGCGGAUCGCCUACCCGUGACACCUGUCACAGGCAGGUAUGCUUCUGCCGCGGGUCCGUAAGUAAAUCAUCUGUUUCGCAAGGGACGGCGAUUUACCUGUGGAAGAGGUCCGCUAACUAUAUUCUUAGUAUAGUUUGUUCACUAGAUCAAACAUUCUGAAUAAAAACUUAAACUAGUUAAAACUUUCAACAACGGAUCUCUUGGUUCUGGCAUCGAUGAAGAACGCAGCGAAAUGCGAUAAGUAAUGUGAAUUGCAGAAUUCAGUGAAUCAUCGAAUCUUUGAACGCACAUUGCGCCCAUUAGUAUUCUAGUGGGCAUGCCUGUUCGAGCGUCAUUUCAACCCUUAAGCCCCUGUUGCUUAGCGUUGGGAGCCUACAGCCUGCUGUAGCUCCUUAAAGGUAGUGGCGGAGUCGGUUCACACUCUAGACGUAGUAAAAUCUUUAUCUCGCCUAUGGAUGAGCCGGCGCCUUGCCGUAAAACCCCUAAUCUUUCACAAGGUUGACCUCGGAUCAGGUAGGAAUACCCGCUGAACUUAAGCAUAUCAAUAAGCGGAGGAAAAGAAACCAACAGGGAUUGCCCUAGUAACGGCGAGUGAAGCGGCAACAGCUCAAAUUUGAAAUCUGGCCUUCGGGUCCGAGUUGUAAUUUGCAGAGGAUGCUUUGGGCGCGGUGCCUUCCGAGUUCCCUGGAACGGGACGCCUUAGAGGGUGAGAGCCCCGUACGGUUGGACACCAAGCCUCUGUAAAGCUCCUUCGACGAGUCGAGUAGUUUGGGAAUGCUGCUCUAAAUGGGAGGUAAAUUUCUUCUAAAGCUAAAUAUUGGCCAGAGACCGAUAGCGCACAAGUAGAGUGAUCGAAAGAUGAAAAGCACUUUGAAAAGAGGGUUAAAUAGCACGUGAAAUUGUUGAAAGGGAAGCGUUUACGACCAGACCUUUUCGCAGCGGAUCAUCCGGUGUUCUCACCGGUGCACUUCGCUGGGUUGAGGCCAGCAUCGGUUUCCGCAGGGGGAUAAAAGCCUGGGGAACGUAGCUCCCUCGGGAGUGUUAUAGCCCCUCGCAUAAUACCCUUGCGGGGACCGAGGACCGC